UGGGGAAUAUUGGACAAUGGGGGCAACCCUGAUCCAGCGAUGCCGCGUGUGUGAAGAAGGCCUGCGGGUUGUAAAGCACUUUAAGUUGGGAGGAAGGGCCAUUACCUAAUACGUGAUGGUUUUGACGUUACCGACAGAAUAAGCACCGGCUAACUCUGUGCCAGCAGCCGCGGUAAUACAGAGGGUGCAAGCGUUAAUCGGAAUUACUGGGCGUAAAGCGCGCGUAGGUGGUUUGUUAAGUUGGAUGUGAAAUCCCCGGGCUCAACCUGGGAACUGCCUUUGAUACUGGCAAUCUAGAGUCCGGAAGAGGUUAGUGGAAUUCCCAGUGUAGAGGUGAAAUUCGUAGAUAUUCGCAGGAACACCAGUGGCGAAGGCGACUUGCUGGACUUAUGGUGACGCUGAGACGCGAAAGCGUGGGGAGCAAACAGGAUUAGAUACCCACGUAGUCCCUGAGCGGGCUGGCAAGGCGCAU
rnacentral:rRNA from 1 species